UUGAUUCAGCAUCAACUCUCAUUCUUCAUCCUUCGCAGACGCCCCUCCUCCUCCAGGGCAGGAAACCAGACACUUUGGGCUGACACAGCAUCUGCCCCUGACCUGCCUCCCAGGCUCACAGCCACAGGGCUCUGGACCCCCUCAGCCUGCUUGGCUGGGCACCAGCAGAGAGAACCCACCAGGAAGAACACUGGAGAGGAGCUGACAGAAAGCCCCUGUCCGUACAAUCCCUAAGAGCCGGAAACGUCCCCGCCCCCAGAGGGCGCCCGGCCAACCCGGAGGUGGCCUCUUGGUGACGUCAUGAGUUGCCGGGCAGAUUGGCGUGCCACCUGUGACCUACCGCCCCGCCCCGGAGAUCGUGCCGGGUAGGACCCGGACAGAAGCAGGAGGGGAGGGGCUCCGGGUGUCAGGGAGGAGGGGGGACACUCGGGAGUGGGGCUCCCCCCCUCCUACCUCCCCUUCUCUUCUUCCCCGGGCGCUGUCGCGAAGAACCAGCAGGUCCAAGUGUACCCCAAUAUCUUCGUCCCUUACAAAGGACCGAUUGCCUCUUGUUUGUUUUGAUUUUUAUUUAAUUCCACACUUGAGGCGA